GAUGAAGAACGCAGCAAAAUGCGAUAAGUAAUGUGAAUUGCAGAAUUCAGUGAAUCAUCGAAUCUUUGAACGCACAUUGCGCCCGCUGGUAUUCCGGCGGGCAUGCCUGUUCGAGCGUCAUUUCAACCCUCAAGCCCCCCGGGUUUGGUGUUGGGGAUCGGCUCUGCCUCACGGCGGUGCCGCCCCCGAAAUACAUUGGCGGUCUCGCUGCAGCCUCCAUUGCGUAGUAGCUAACACCUCGCAACUGGAACGCGGCGCGGCCAUGCCGUAAAACCCCAGCUUCUGAAUGUUGACCUCGGAUCAGGUAGGAAUACCCGCUGAACUUAAGCAUAUCAAUAAGCGGAGGA
rnacentral:misc_RNA from 1 species